CUCAGUUGUCUCAGUUGUCCAAGAGAAAGAUAACCCGCCUCAGGGCUGUGGGAGGUGUUAGCAGCCACGAUGUGACUCUCAGGAAAUGCUGGUCGGGAAGAAGAUGAAGAAGGUCCAGGGUGUGAGUUUUCUAGGUCCGGAAAUCCCAGGUGUUCUGAGGAGGGAGUCGGGUGAGGCAGACCCUGGGAAGCAGGAGAAGGAGGGAGCCAGAGAGCCCAUCUCCGGGACAGAUGUGGGUGUGGGGAAUGAGCAGGUGCCGUGGGGGGUCUGGGCUCCCUUGGGGUUACAUGUGUGACCAAUGAGGCAGACUCUGGGUCCAGGAAGGGAUUCUUCUUUCUCCCUUUCUCCCCAGCAACUUUCCUUGGAACCCAUCACUUGGAAAAUAUUUGCAUGGCCUUUUCCACUUGGCGUAGCUGGGAUCACAGCAGACGUCUGUCUCCUGUCCGCCUGCUCCCCUCUUUCUCACGGGUCCAGCUCCAGUGAGGAGGAAGCUCGAGGGUCUGUGAGAUUAUCUGCGGAGAGAAGGAGCCAGCCGGAGAGAGGCACCAGUAUGCUCAUCCGUCGAAAGCCCCACAGAAGCGAAUUUGCUUUCCUCUGCUCUGCCAGUCCCCCAGAGACCCCGGCCAGAGGUGGUUGCUGGCCUGGCCAAGGCCCGAAGAGGCCGCUGAAUGAGCCUGUCAGGUUCCCACCUUCGCCCAUAAUCUAGAAAUCGGGGCAUCACGUGUGAGGGGAGCCUGGAGUUUUGCGCUCAGCUGGCGGGUGGUGGGAGCUAAGGGGAGCCGGCCCUUCGGUCAAGGAGAAGCCCUCGCAAGUGAGGAGGCCUGUGAACCCCCAAAGGGAAGCGGAAAGGUCUCAGGGCCCGUCUGACCUGUGUGGAUACGAGGGGAGGACUAGAAGCGUGCAGAACCCUCACCAGUGGUCAAAAUCCCACCCUUAACAGGGUAUGCCCUGGGGUCAAGCAUUGCCCCUAAACACGGCAAAUAUCCCCACAAGCCUCAGGAAGGAAGCCAUUACCCCAGCCGCUCAAUAUUCACAAACGCUGAGCUCCCUCCACGUGACUGGUGCCGGGCCCUGGGGAUACAGAGUCAGGGUCCCCCUCUCCCAGCGACUCAGUCUGUGGUGAGCGGUUACAAGGCAAUGCAUCCAGGCUGCUGUAGAGAUGGGAGUGCUCAUUCUGUUCUGCAGCAGCCGAGGCCAAGGCUAGGUCGGGGGGAGGGUGCCCGGUGCCCAAAGGGGGAAGGAGACGGGCAAGCAGAGAAAAAAGGGAGGUCCGGGAACCAGCAGCGCGGGCCAGUAUGGGCAAGCUGGUACGGAGGAGGCAGGACCUUUGCUGAGCUGCCAUGGAGGAGCUAAGGGAGCACAGGGCAAGAAGCGAGGAGGCC
rnacentral:lncRNA from 1 species